rnacentral:misc_RNA from 1 species
CUGUUACUCACUCACGGCCUAUCCAUAACCCUAUUGAUUACUCCAAACAACCAGCCUUUGCUACACUCAUUCCUGUGUUCCCACACUUCCUCUCACCUCCAACACUUGGUCCUUCCAGACCCUCCAAGGAUCCGCCUGCUUGCUUGCAUGCGCUCCUUGCGCCAACAACACUAUCCUAUCCUUCUAAACUGGUUCCAAUCUCACCCGUCCCCU